UCCUAUGUUCUUUGCUGAAUUUUCGUUUCUUUAAGUUCUUUUUUUUCUUUGUCUUUUGUAGGCUGUACCUACGUUUUUGUUGGCAGUAUCGGUUUUAUUGUGUAUCUGUCUAUCAGUGGAUUGGAUCAUCAACAUAACCAGAAAUGAUGCAAGAGAGAUGGCGAUUUUAAAAGUCAACCUAGCUAUCUCUAGCUACGUAGGAAUUAAGAAGCAGUAAUAAUUACUAAUCAGCUACAAAAUUUAUUUAAUCGUGCAAACAGCCGAAGGAGAGAAGUGGCUUAGUGUACAAAUAAAACGCACAGUGGGUACCUGCUACCAUCGAUAAAUCGGCAACAUCUGGAAACAGUUCUAAGAUCAUAGGGCAAGAAUCGUGGGAGAUUUCUCGAGGAAUUGUUAUUUUUGAUCUGCAGUGACUUUAACAUUAAAAUAAAAAGCGAAGAAAUAAUAGAGUGAAUAGGUAAUACAUUGCCUACUUGGAAUUUUGUAGGUAGAUAAAUUAAAUAUUUAAAAAUGUCGAUGACGUUCGAUUGGAAAAGUAAAGAAGAAUUUUCAAUGCAGGUGCAACUUGUAAUAAUCCAGGGAAGCAGAGAAUCGUGUAUAUUCGGUUUAUAAUUGCACGGGUCGCGUAAACGGGAGCGCACGCGGAGGGAUUGGCUGAUACUUUAAAAGCAGGUGUGCAUUACCAUAGCUAUUGGUUUAUUGAUUUAUCCAUCGGCGCGUACGUACGCUUUGAGUGGCUGAUAUGCCAGAGUAAAAAAUGGUCCGUGUCGGUGUAGAUCGACGAUAUCGACGAAUACCGUUUCGCGUUACGGGCUUUUAAUGUUGCUCAAACCGUCAUUGCGUUCUCACUAAUGACGCACGAGCGUGGAUUAAUCGGUUCGUAACCGCGCUGAAACGUGCCAUCCACUGAAGAGCGCACGGUCAAACGCAUUACUUUCAUUUUAUCAAUUUUCUGUUCUGCCAACUAUCCAAUACAGUGACAUACAGUGAAAGACCAAAGUACCUGU